GACGAACGCUGGCGGCGUGCCUAAUACAUGCAAGUUGAGCGAUGAAGAUUGGUGCUUGCACCAAUUUGAAGAGCAGCGAACGGGUGAGUAACGCGUGGGGAAUCUGCCUUUGAGCGGGGGACAACAUUUGGAAACGAAUGCUAAUACCGCAUAACAACUUUAAACAUAAGUUUUAAGUUUGAAAGAUGCAAUUGCAUCACUCAAAGAUGAUCCCGCGUUGUAUUAGCUAGUUGGUGAGGUAAAGGCUCACCAAGGCGAUGAUACAUAGCCGACCUGAGAGGGUGAUCGGCCACAUUGGGACUGAGACACGGCCCAAACUACUACGGGAGGCAGCAGUAGGGAAUCUUCGGCAAUGGACGAAAGUCUGACCGAGCAACGCCGCGUGAGUGAAGAAGGUUGUCGGAUCGUAAAACUCUGUUGGUAGAGAAGAACGUUGGUGAGAGUGGAAAGCUCAUCAAGUGACGGUAACUACCCAGAAAGGGACGGCUAACUACGUG
rnacentral:rRNA from 1 species